CAGCCGCCGCGGGAAAACGUAAGGUGCAAGCGUUAAUCGGAAUUACUGGGCGUAAAGCGCACGCAGGCGGUCUGUCAAGUCGGAUGUGAAAUCCCCGGGCUCAACCUGGGAACUGCAUUCGAAACUGGCAGGCUAGAGUCUUGUAGAGGGGGGUAGAAUUCCAGGUGUAGCGGUGAAAUGCGUAGAGAUCUGGAGGAAUACCGGUGGCGAAGGCGGCCCCCUGGACAAAGACUGACGCUCAGGUGCGAAAGCGUGGGGAGCAAACAGGAUUAGAUACCCCGGUAGUCCCUGUCUCUUAUAC
rnacentral:rRNA from 1 species